rnacentral:lncRNA from 1 species
UAGAAUAUGACAACAAUUUCUUCUUUGUAGGAAUUCACAAAUCCAUUGCCAAACUGCCUCGUCAUACAAUAUAUAUAAUAUAUAGGGUGUCUUUUAAUAAUAAUUAAUUUAAUCUGACAUGUGUGACGAGUCCCUGAAUUUAUAAACCAUCAAACCAAUUCCCUAUUCACGGCUACCAGACACGAGCACUAGCCGAAGGAACUGUCCCCUAUUCAUGGUUACCAGACACAAACACUAGCUGAAGGAACUGUCCCCUACUCACGGUUACCAGACACGGGCACUAGCCGAAGGGAUUUAUAAUCCGAUUUGUAAUAAUAUGUUCGUGUAAACACCUAGAUCGUAAUUGUUUUCCCAAUCCAAGGAACUCACACCAUACCAACAUACAACUGGGAUCCCACAUCCCACAUACAAAAUCCAUCUCCUUUUACCAUCCUGAAAAAGAGAUGCAAUAAAAACUUCAAUAGCUUUUUCGUUUAUAAAACCAUUUCAAUAUACAUAUACCGCUUUAAUAACUCCAGUAUAAAAUAUGAUAUCUGUAACUAAUCACUUUAAUAGAAGGUAUAAUCGAUAAACCACAAUUACUAUAUAUAUACCAAACAAAACCAUGCAUGCAUUUUAUCAUCAAUAUAUCAACUAAACUGCGACAUUUAAAAUAUGACACAUGAAAUGACAGUAUAAAAAAAGUGUAAGUCCCUACCUCUUGCUCGUUUUCAUAUAUCAUUCUUCCAAUCCAAAUGCCCAAGUAAAAUUACAUGUACAUUGAACUUUCGUAACAAAGUCAAAUUCCUAAAGCCAAAUGUGUAUACAAAUAGGCUAGUGUCAUGUGGUUAUAUUAGAAACUGAACUAUAAACCCAGUUUAUCCUUAGACACAUUAAUAGAAGGCCAAUUCCAUCAAGUCUUAUAUGAACUAAAAAUUGUCAUUUUGAUGUGAUCAAUUUAUACCCGUAAUAUUGUACCAAAGUAUUAAACUUUUGAUUUGAAAUUGAGCUAAGAAGAAACUUACCAGCCACAUAGCUAUUUUCGCUGAGACGACCAUACACUCUCUGGCAAUAAUCAACUUUUUUAGCUCCUUAUAAGACUUAAGCAUCCUUCGGUCUUUCCCUUACUUCCUCCUUGACUUUUCUUUCUCAUUAUUCAGUUAAUUACCUUACAUUUGAAGGUUGGAUACUAGACAUAAGUUCUCACCUAUGUCUUGGCUAUGAAAUAGAAUGAAACAUCCUAACACCCACUGAUCCUCCUAGUGGCUACCACAUCGUUUCCACAUCUAUGAACAAACAAACCCUCCAUUACAAACUAACUACCAGUUUCACCUUUCUCUUUUAAUUUAUACGAACUCAAUCAUCACAGCUCAAUAUUCAGUACUUGCCAACACUCAUAGCCAUGCAUACAAGAAUUAUAAACUCUUAAUCUCCAUCAAAUUUAGCUUUCAAAGAGUUAUCUGCCUUUUAAUUGUUCUUCUCUCUCUGGUCUAUCUCUUUCUUAAUACAUCAGUUGAAGUUGAUAAGAGCAACACUCAAGGAACCAGCUCAAUCUAAAUCCAAGUGGGAGGUGUCAAGCCUAAUUU